GAUGAACGCUGGCGGCGUGCCUAAUACAUGCAAGUCGAGCGAACAGACGAGGAGCUUGCUCCUCUGACGUUAGCGGCGGACGGGUGAGUAACACGUGGAUAACCUACCUAUAAGACUGGGAUAACUUUGGGAAACCGGAGCUAAUACCGGAUAAUAUAUUGAACCGCAUGGUUCAUUAGUGAAGGACGGUUUUGCUGUCCCUUAUAGAUGGAUCCGCGCCGCAUUAGCUAGUUGGUAAGGUAACGGCUUACCAAGGCAACGAUGCGUAGCCGACCUGAGAGGGUGAUCGGCCACACUGGAACUGAGACACGGUCCAGACUCCUACGGGAGGCAGCAGUAGGGAAUCUUCCGCAAAGGGCGAAAGCUUGACGGAGCAACGCCGCGUGAGUGAUGAAGGUCUUCGGAUCGUAAAACUCUGUUAUUAGGGAAGAACAAAUGUGUAAGUAACUAUGCACGUCUUGACGGUACCUAAUCAGAAAGCCACGGCUAACUACGUG
rnacentral:rRNA from 1 species